rnacentral:rRNA from 1 species
CAGUUGAGCGAAGCUUUUUGGUAGUUUACUACUAGAAAUGACUGAGCGGCGAACGGGUGAGUAACGCGUGAGCAAUCUACCUUAGUUACUGGGAUAGCCCGAGGAAACUCGGAUUAAUACCGGAUAUUCUUAUUUUUUCACAUGAAGUUUUAAGGAAAGGUCAGCCGAACUAAGAUGAGCUCGCGUUCUAUCAGCUAGUUGGUGGGGUAAAAGCCUACCAAGGCUACGACGGAUAGCUGGUCUGAGAGGACGAUCAGCCACACUGGGACUGAGACACGGCCCAGACUCCUACGGGAGGCUGCAGCAGGGAAUAUUGUGCAAUGAGCGAAAGCUUGACACAGCGACACCGCGUGUGGGAUGACGGUUCUAGGAUUGUAAACCACUUUCAGGAGGGAAGAAAAUGACGGUACCUCCACAAGAAGACCCGGCCAACUAUGUGCCAGCAGCCGCGGUAAUACAUAGGGGUCAAGCGUUGUCCGGAUUUAUUGGGCGUAAAGAGCUCGUAGGCGGUUCAACAAGUCGGUCGUAAAAGUUUAGGGCUCAACCCUAAAAUGUCGAUCGAUACUGUUGUGACUAGGAUACGGUAGAGGUGAAUGGAAUUCCGAGUGCAGCGGUGAAAUGCGUAGAUAUUCGGAGGAACACCAAUUGCGAAGGCAGUUCACUGGACCGUGAUCGACGCUGAGGAGCGAAAGCUAGGGGAGCAAACAGGAUUAGAU